CACGGGGGGGGCAAGCGUUGUUCGGAAUUACUGGGCGUAAAGGGUUCGUAGGUGGCCAACUAAGUCAGACGUGAAAUCCCUCAGCUUAACUGGGGAACUGCGUCUGAUACUGGUUGGCUUGAGUGCAGGAGAGGAAUGCGGAAUUCCAGGUGUAGCGGUGAAAUGCGUAGAUAUCUGGAGGAACACCGGUGGCGAAGGCGGCAUUCUGGACUGCAACUGACACUGAUGAACGAAGGCCAGGGGAGCAAACGGG
rnacentral:rRNA from 1 species